AGUGGAAAGGCCUGCUUCCCGCG
rnacentral:siRNA from 1 species